GACCACGUGGCCUAAUGGAUAAGGCGUCUGACUUCGGAUCAGAAGACUGAGGGUUCGAAUCCCUUCGUGGUUG
rnacentral:tRNA from 1 species